CAGCAUUGGAGAGGAGACAGAGGCCAGAUGAAAAAGGAGAGAAGAGUGAAUUAGGGGAGGGAGGAGGAGACCCGCUCCAACCUCAAGCACAUUCAUACUGAAGAGUUUACUGCAACAUAUCAUUUCUUUCUUAUGGUGUGUGGAUAUAUUCAGUACAAAUGAAGUAUCUCUGAUGACUGCCUGUUGGGUGGAGGAAAGUCACAGGCUUCCCUGAAUGGCUGGAAGGAAGAGAUUAGAUAAAUUGAAGAUGGCAGGGGCCCAUGGGAGCUGCAAGAAAGUUCAGAGGCUGAGGAAGACCUACUAAGGCCUAAAAGAAAUACAAAACCAGAGGGAAAUGGAUGUUGAAAUUAUAUUUAAAUGGCGUAUGGUGAUAAUGGGCACUGUGCAUGUGGCAGUGAGAGUCUCUUCUCUGUCAGUGAUCAUUUUGAAUAGCCUGACUCCUCUCUUCAGCUGUGUCAGCACUUCAGUGUGUAAGCAUUGUAUUUGUCUUUGUAAUUUUUUGAAAAGCAAUAAUUUUUAAGAAUUUGGGUGACAAAUCUUAGCAGGAUGAGUUUUGUCUAUCUUUUUUUUUUCUUUUCCCAUGAAGUAAUAAGUAUCCUCACAACUCCCUAGGACUUACUCUUAAGUCAUAGACAGGUUGAGAUCUUUGUUGGAAGAAGGAAUUCUCAGUAUUGGCAAUCCUUUGACUGAAGAAAUCUCAGAUCAAUUAUAUUUAUGUAUCUUCUCACAAAAUAAAUAUUAUAAAAGCUGA